rnacentral:lncRNA from 1 species
AAGUCAGAAACCUGUUGGAGUAGCUGAAGAUUGAAUGCUAUAACUCAACACCAAGUUACCCGCAAUGCAAUGGCCAGGCCGAGGCCACAAAUAAGAUGAUCAUGAACGGAAUCAAAAAGAGACUCAAAAAGGCCAAAGGAAAAUGGGUCGAUGAGUUGGCAAACGUGUUAUGGGCUUAUCGGACCAUACCGCUGAAGGCCACGAACGAAAUGCCGUACUCACUGCUUUCGGAUUCGAAGCCGUAAUCCCGUUGGAGGUCGGUCUGCCCAUAAUUCGGACAGAGGCCUACGACGCAGCUCACAAUAAUGAGGUACUGGCUCGAGAUCUCGAUUUGGUCGAAGAAAGAAGAGACAAUGCACUCAUCAGAAUGGCUGAUUAUCAAAAGCAGUUGGCAAAAUCUUUCAACCAGAAGGUUAAAUGGAGAGAGUUUGGGAUGGGUGACCUCGUUCUCAGAAAAGUUGUUGGAAACACCAAGGACCCAACCGACAGCAAGUUGGGCCCGAACUGGGAGUGGUCCUACAAGAUAACCAAACUCGCCGGCUGGGGUUCUGACUAUUUAGAAGAUGGCAAAGGAACGAAAUUCCUAGACCUGAAUUCCAAUAACUGAGAAAGUAUUCCAUUAAAUGAAUGCCGCACUAAGCUUUAAUGUAUAAAAAGCAUCGCGUCUUUCCAUUAUCCUUUAUGUAAACAUAUUUAAAACUUAACUCCAAAAUUUUUAAAAGUUAACUCGAUUAAAAUGCGGAGAGGAGAAGGGGUAGCCGAGCUAGUCUGGAGAUCCGAACUGCCUUCGUUCGCUUUAUCUAGUAAUACUUGGUUAAAAAAUUCAAGGCAAAACUAGCCGAACUCGAAAGAGGGUUUUUCAGAAGGCUUAUCCUAAUUACUUUUUACGAGUUAACUAAUGUUAAAACGCGAGAGAGAACGAGGAAGGGGUUGAAGGGGUUAGCCGAGGUAGUAUAGAGCUUAGAAUUGCCCUUGUUCGGCUUUAAUCUAGUAAUACUUGCGUUAAAAUUCAAGAGAAUGCUAGCCGAACUCGAAAAGAGGGUUUCCAGCUUGUCCAACUAUUUUUUUACGAGUUAACUCGAAUAAAAUGCGAGAAGGGGGUUUUAGACCGAGCUAGUAUGGAGCUCCGAACUGCCCUUCGUUCGCUUAAUCUAGUCAUAGUGGUAAAAAAAAUUCAAGGGAAAGCUGCCGAACUAGAAAGAGGGGGGGUUCUGAGCUUAUCCAAUUACUUUUUAAAAUUACUCGAGUAAAACGCGAGAGAGGAGAGAGGGU